rnacentral:rRNA from 1 species
UACGAAGGGGGCUAGCAUUGCUCGGAAUUACUGGGCGUAAAGCGCACGUAGGCGGGUGAUUAAGUCAGAGGUGAAAGCCUGGAGCUCAACUCCAGAACUGCCUUUGAUACUGAUCAUCUUGAGUUUGUGAGAGGUAAGUGGAAUACCGAGUGUAGAGGUGAAAUUCGUAGAUAUUCGGUGGAACACCAGUGGCGAAGGCGACUUACUGGCACAAUACUGACGCUGAGGUGCGAAAGCGUGGGGAUCAAACAGG